UAGACACACAACAUCACAUGGUUCCACUGACACUGGCUUUUGGACAGCAAUGUUGGCAAUAACACACUAUGGACUGCCUUAUCCAGCCCACAACUCCACAAAAUAGGACCAGCUAAGACAACAAUGUAACAGGAAUACAAAAAUCCUUUCAAUAUUUUUUCUACACUGAAUGCCUUGAAGGCCCAGAGGGUUCCACUGCAGUAUUUAAAGUCAAAGUUCCACCUGUGCCAAAAGGUCCGCCAUCUUGGACAGCUACCUAUGGCUACACCACUUGGACAAACCACAUAUUGUGAUCUGAGUUUCGUGUUGCAACCUAAGUUUCGACCAUGAUCUGAGAUUAUCCUGUCUAUUACACAACUGUUUACUAAAGAAAUCAAUAACCUGACACAAAUGUUGGCGUAAGAAUGAUUUCAUUGAUUUAAAAAUGAUUUUGUCUCCUUUCUGUCUUAUCCCAGCCAGGCGCAGCAGAUGGCCGCCCACCGUGAGAAGAUUUGACACAUAUGAAUACUGACUGGACUUAAAUGUGUUUUACCUGAGCUGUCUUGUUUCAUCCUCCGUUGUUGACAUUAAAUUGAUGAAACACUGAUAAUUUAGCUUUUUUUAAUACUCAGAUCCUGUAGUUGUUUUUAUACUGUGUAUUUUGGUAAAAUGUCAGUGUAGGCAAAGAUAUUAAAUACAUUUAUAUAAAACAGAAUUAUCUUCUUGCAUAUUAUCUCAACAAGCACAGGCUGACCUCAUGGAAGUUUUCAUCUGUUUUCAGUGUUCUUAUGUAUGACAUAUUUCACAGCAUGAGUUAUUACAGAAAGUGUUUGGUUCAUGUUUAAGUUGUAAUUCUUUGGCUCUGAAGGUUAUAAAAGUAGUGUGAAAAGAUAAAAGUAUCAACAUUACCCUGCUAGAUCACCCUAAAUCAUACACACUAAAGUUAAUAUUGCAUUUCUUAUGUUGCAGCUGGUAAAGGUGCUGCAAAUUUCAAUUAUUCAUUCAUACAUCAUUAUUUAUUAGUUUAUUAAUAUUUUGUAUUAAAAGAAAUAGAUAUACAUCUCUAAACCCACUGAGAACAUUGCACUUUGUGUUCAGGGUGGCAGAAAUAAAGCUUAACGCUAAAUUGGAAGUCUCUGAGGGAUCCUGCAUGAGACACCAGCAACAUCAAAUACCUGCUUGCGAUUCAGUUGUGGCUUCUUUUUUUUUUAAAGCUGCCCCUUUAAUACUAUUAAUAUCCCUGACAGAAACGUUCCUAAAAAGCCUUUAGGGACCGGUCUUUACUUAUCAGGGGUGGGGGUGAGGUAGGGAGCCUGGGAUUGUGACUUUGUUUUUUGUUUUAUUUUUCUGACAACAAACAACAUGCGACAAACAUGCAACAUGCAUGGUGCGUCUGUGGCUGAGUGGUAGAGCAGGCGCCCCAUGUACAAGGCUGUUGCCGCAGCGGCCCGGGUUCGACUCCAGCCUGUGGCCCUCUCUCUCCCUUCACGCUCACCUGUCCUAUCAAUUAAAGGCUCAAAAAUGCCCAAAAAAAUAUCUUAAAAAAAAAGCAACAUGCAACAAAACUUAUAUCGGGGAGACAGGUAGAGCCUUCAGUACAAGAAGAAAUGAACAUAGGAAAGAGUGUGAAAAGGAAACAUCCAGAGCACGGACCUGUGCAAAAAAAGAAAAAGUGGAGCAGGAAAAUCUGAAAUCAGCCAUCUCAGACCACUGCAAAAGGGAGAAUCACAUCAUGAACUGGAAAGAGGCCAAGGUCAUUCAAACAAAAGCAACAAGUACCACCGUUGGAUUGCAGAGGUGGUGGAAAUCCGCAACCCUGCAUCCAGAACUGUAAACCGGGAUGAGGGAGCAUACCAACUAUCUCACACCUGGGAUGCAGUGUUACAGAAGUGCCGUCUGUAGGACUGCCGGACAGUGAGGGGCCCCACCCCCCAUCAUCUGGAGGAAUGCCAUCAGAAGUGUACCUGAUGGCAGGGGGCCUCGCCCCCUGUUGCCUAAUGGGCUGUUGGAUAGCAGGGAACCCUGCCGUCAUUCAGGUUCCACCACUCAGGUGGAAUGACAACCUGGAUAAAACAUCUACAGGACACGUCACCACAACAUCACGUGACGCCUCUGAUGAUGAUGACAGACGCAGUCGUCGAAACUGUCAAGUUACAAGAGGCACAUGAGAUGUAGCUUGGCAGUCCACCAACAGAUGCUCAUCCACCAAUACAGAACAGGGAUACAACAUGGACUGUGCAUCACAUUGACACUGGUCCACCCUUGAAUAUAGCAGCUGGAGAGCAGCAGGUAAGGGGGAAGAGAGAGGAUGACACACAGCAAAGGACAGCAGGAGGGUUUUGAACCCAUGCCGGUACCAAUGACUCAGCCUACAUGGGGCGCACACUCUCCCAGAGUUAACUGAAGACUUACCGCCUUCCCAGGCCGUGCCCAGGUGCAGAUGAGACCUUCCUGGCAGGCUGUGAUGAUGCAGUCGUCCAUGAACACCAGGACGGUCAGCCUCUCAUGUGCAAUCUUCUUGCACACCAGCG